rnacentral:rRNA from 1 species
CCUACGGGGGGCUGCAGUGGGGAAUAUUGCACAAUGGGCGCAAGCCUGAUGCAGCCAUGCCGCGUGUGUGAAGAAGGCCUUCGGGUUGUAAAGCACUUUCAGCGGGGAGGAAGGCGGUGAGGUUAAUAACCUCAUCGAUUGACGUUACCCGCAGAAGAAGCACCGGCUAACUCCGUGCCAGCAGCCGCGGUAAUACGGAGGGUGCAAGCGUUAAUCGGAAUUACUGGGCGUAAAGCGCACGCAGGCGGUCUGUCAAGUCGGAUGUGAAAUCCCCGGGCUCAACCUGGGAACCGCAUUCGAAACUGGCAGGCUAGAGUCUUGUAGAGGGGGGUAGAAUUCCAGGUGUAGCGGUGAAAUGCGUAGAGAUCUGGAGGAAUACCGGUGGCGAAGGCGGCCCCCUGGACAAAGACUGACGCUCAGGUGCGAAAGCGUGGGGAGCAAACAGGAUUAGAUACCCCGGUAGUC